AUGGCGCUUAUGCCGAGCCGGAAAUCAGUCGUCUUCCUCUUCUCAGGGCAAAUUACAUUUGGUCUGCUCACGUGUAGGUUUUUGACACACGGAUGACUUUGUCCAACUUUAGGAGUUUGCAGAGAUGAGCCAAUAUUUCCAUGGCAUUCCCUGGCUACUGCUGAAGUAUCCCAAGGGACACUGCUGUAAGAGCACCUUCAGCGGUCAGGGAUGAGCGCUCCCCUUCUCCGGCUGUAUCAAGCACACGCUCAAUUAGCAUCGCAUGGUAGGUGAG